ACUCGAGAGCCAGCAUUAUUAAUACAUUUUUUCAGUAUUCAAAUUCUCAAAAUGUGUAGACCAACAACUUUCGCUAAAUAUUGUGGAACAUCUUGGUUUGUUGUUAGUGGAUUAAUGGCAAUUGCAAUAUUAGUGCAACCUCAAGAUGCUUUAUAAACGUAAACUUGAUAUUUUUUAGCACCAAAAGAAUUUUACAAGCUUUGUUUGUCAUAUAUAAUCAUUUCCAUGUGGAUGGUUUAUCAUGCCGCGUACAUCGUUUUAAUCUGGUUGACGCACAGAUUGGCAUACGUAUGGUCGAUGCUUGCAAUUGGCACCUUGACUGCGCUACUUAUUAUGACGUUUUUAGUCCUGAACAUGGCAAAAAUUCGUGUCAUGGAUUGGUUUGAUGUCCCAAUGUGGCAAGGAGAACCUGAAAAAGGACGUCGCUUACGUGUACCUCGAUCAACUUCGUCAAUAGGGUUUGGGGAUUUUGGAUGGCUGAUGAUUCCUUUCACUCUUUUUAUGUUUUCUGAUUUAAUGCUACUUCUUGUCACAAUACAUGUUACCCGAUUCCAUGAUAACGAUUACUACCCAGAGAACUCAAUAGGUGCAAAAAUAUGUCCUCGGAGACUAGGAAACUAUUAGACGGUCUUCCACAACCAGCCAGGUGGUCAAAGUGUGGGCCCUCCACUUGGCGGAUAGGGUCUUAUGUAAUCUUCACAAGUUAUUAAUAUUGUUUAGGCUGAACUGUUUAUUAAAAUCAAGAAAUUAUAAUAUUAGUAGGUAUAAAAAGAGAGAACGCGUAGUCCAGUACUUCGACCAUCAUAUACCUGUUACUUAGCUAAUGGGAGUU